rnacentral:rRNA from 1 species
UACGAAGGGGGCUAGCGUUGCUCGGAAUCACUGGGCGUAAAGCGCACGUAGGCGGAUUGCUAAGUCAGUGGUGAAAUCCUGGAGCUCAACUCCAGAACUGCCUUUGAUACUGGCGAUCUUGAGUCCGGGAGAGGUGAGUGGAACUGCGAGUGUAGAGGUGAAAUUCGUAGAUAUUCGGAAGAACACCAGUGGCGAAGGCGGCUCACUGGACGACUGUUGACGCUGAGGUGCGAAAGCGUGGGGAGCAAACAGG